rnacentral:rRNA from 1 species
GUCCAUGCCGUAAACGAUGUAUACUUGAUGUAUCCGGGCUCAACCCCGGCUGUGUCGUAGCUAACGCGAUAAGUAUACCGCCUGAGGAGUACGCUCGCAAGGGUGAAACUCAAAAGAAUUGACGGGGGCCCGCACAAGCAGUGGAGCAUGUGGUUUAAUUCGAUGCAACGCGAAGAACCUUACCCAGAUUUGAAAUACGGAGGACAGUCUCGGAAACGAGAUCUCCCGCAAAGGGGUCUUCGAACAGGUGCUGCAUGGCUGUCGU